UGUCCGUCAUCCUCAGCAUCACUAGGCUGGCCAGCGGGCCGAACGUCCGGUCCUCGAUCCGGCGCAGAGUGUUGAAGGAGAGGUCCAGGUGUUGAAGUGCUGAAUCAGACCCAGCAGGAUGGAGGAGGAGCAGCAGCAGCAGGAGGAGGAAGACAGAUGUUGCUGCUGACGAGUCGUAUGAAGCAAAUUACCCCAAAAUGGCAACCAGCAGUCCCUUCCUCCCCCCACACACACACACUGACCACAUACUCUCUCCAUCUUUGUAUUCCACCCUCAGAGAUCCACUAAAAGAAAAUCUGUUGGGUUUUCUGUCUAUUCACCGCCUGUCAGGUUGCUCUCCAUGUGGACUGAAGUAAUCCUCACAGCUGUUUUAAGCCCUUAUAAACUGGCUCUAGGAGGACAUCUAGUGUCGGCAACAAGGAACUGCGUUUUAGGAUUGAUACUUGAUGGAUGUUUUCCCUCUCAGCUUUGCUACUUUUGUGAAAUGGAAGUAAAAACGGAACCAGCAGACGUUUCACAAGCUCUUAAAAGUUUACCCGGAAGUAAAAAAAAUAAUAAAAUUAUCAAGAAUAAUCAAAAUAUUGUUUAAAAAUAGGUUCAAAGUUAAUUGUACUUACUUCAAGUGGCACCGUUUGAGGUUAAAGGUUGGUGGGUUGUCUUGUGGCCUCCACUAGAAUCGAUUGUGUACCGACUGCUGGCCAAGCAGUACGUAAUGUUGGACUUUAUGGAAACGUGACAAAAAUACAGUUGUUUGCUUCACAGUAAAAAACUUAAAGAAGUUAUCUCCUCAUAAGGAACAGCACUUUUAACUUUUAGCCUGUGCGUGUAGCAGGAUGAAGCCUGCCCUGCAGGAUGAAGGACACCUGGCACCCAAUUAACUCCUUACAGGAUGUGGAGAAUAACAAGAGACUCCUUCGCUGGUUUCCUUUAUGCCUGGACAUGGUCACACUUCAGUAAGAAGGUCGCUUGGUUGGUUUACAGUGGUCAUAACUCUAACGUAAUGUUAGUAAUGUUUCUCCUGUAUUAGACCUGAAAUUGCAGUUGUUUGACUCAAAUUGUUUGGAUUUAGAAACUGCCUGGAGUCUCCUGCUUGGUACUGAGGUGUGGCUACCGUUUCACCUCCCCAGAUGAUCUUAGCAACGUAAAACAGGCAUGUACUUUUUAUUGCAUCCAUACAGUUUUAUAGCACAGAAACACGACAAUUCAUUUAUAGAAAGUACUGGCAAGCUGAUCCUCCUGCUGAUGUUGGGCUGGAAGGGGCUCUCUGGUUGGGGGUGGAGACAUCCAGCUCUGGUAGGUUAAAAUGACUUCCUUUACAUGCUACCAUUUUCUGAAACCACCUGUUAAUUUGUAAUUUCCUUUCAGACAAAAAGCUGCUGCAGCUCGGUGGAGACCCUGUUGCUUUGUUUCCUCAGUUUUGCGCUUUUUUUUUUUUUUUCCGUGGAAUCAUGUCUUGUUCUCAUUGGUUUACAAACCUUCAGUGCCUUACUGGUGCUCUAUUUCCUUGGGUGCAAUUUCCAAGGUGGCGUUGACGCCUUCUGGUUACCCCGCUCUGAGAGGUGCAUUUAAGUUGCAGAGUAUCAACCCAUUUCCUACCCUUGUCUUGCCACACAUGGCAAACAUUUCAUGUGGUGGAAUGUCAACACACCAUCCCACACAGACUUUAUGCCAUUUCAUGGGUCAAAAUUACCAUGUUAAGUAAACUUAAUUCAAGUUUUUAUAUGAAUAUUUCCAGGACGACAUUUGUUUUGAAUAUCGGUGAUUAAAACGGGGGUUAUGGAUGUCUGGUUUCACUCUGGAGGACGAUUUUUACCCUGGCAGCUGAUCCUGAAGCAGUUUGUAAUAAUGUUAGAUUCCAAAAUAACAAAAAUGUGGUUCUACUUCCUGUAAAA